rnacentral:rRNA from 1 species
UAGGGAAUCUUCGGCAAUGGGGGCAACCCUGACCGAGCAACGCCGCGUGAGUGAAGAAGGUUUUCGGAUCGUAAAGCUCUGUUGUAAGAGAAGAACGUGUGUGAGAGUGGAAAGUUCACACAGUGACGGUAACUUACCAGAAAGGGACGGCUAACUACGUGCCAGCAGCCGCGGUAAUACGUAGGUCCCGAGCGUUGUCCGGAUUUAUUGGGCGUAAAGCGAGCGCAGGCGGUUUAAUAAGUCUGAAGUUAAAGGCAGUGGCUUAACCAUUGUUCGCUUUGGAAACUGUUGAACUUGGGUGCAGAAGGGGAGAGUGGAAUUCCAUGUGUAGCGGUGAAAUGCGUAGAUAUAUGGAGGAACACCGGUGGCGAAAGCGGCUCUCUGGUCUGUAACUGACGCUGAGGCUCGAAAGCGUGGGGAGCAAACAG